GAGACAGCAGUCGCCGCGGUAAAACGGAGGGUGCAAGCGUUACUCGGAAUCACUGGGCGUAAAGGACGCGUAGGCGGAUUAUCAAGUCUCUUGUGAAAUCUAACGGCUUAACCGUUAAACUGCUUGGGAAACUGAUAAUCUAGAGUAAGGGAGAGGCAGAUGGAAUUCUUGGUGUAGGGGUAAAAUCCGUAGAUAUCAAGAAGAAUACCUAUUGCGAAGGCGAUCUGCUGGAACUUAACUGACGCUAAUGCGUGAAAGCGUGGGGAGCGAACGGGAUUAGAUACCCCUGUAGUCCCUGUCUCUUAUAC
rnacentral:rRNA from 1 species